UUCUCUUUCUUAUCUCCUCACGCUCACAUACAUCUACAUUCUCUCUCUGCGUUCCUUCUCUCUCUCUCAACUCUGUCGUCCUCUUUCUCUCUCCCUGUCUCCGGUGAGCGUCGCCGGCCUUCGCCGCCUCCGGCGCGGCGAGGUCGGCCUCUCCUCUCCCCCCUUCCUUUCUCUCCAUUUCUCCUUUCCCUAUGUUUCAAUCCCCAAAUUAUAAAAUCAAAAUCCUAGGGUUUCUACCUCUCUUCAUCCCCUCUGGAAUUCGUCUCUCCGGCGAAGCCUGCCGCCCCGCCGUCGUCUCUGUCACACCGCCACCUCUUCUGACUCAGGAAUCGAGGUUUCAAGGGAUUACUCAGAGUGACAGUCGUCUGCUGCUCAAGACUCAAUUUUUUUAUGAGUUAUAAGUCUGUUUCCUUUUUAUUUCUUAUUUAGAAACAACUGUAUUCAUGAGAUUAGAACUGUAUUUGUGAGAUUAGAAUUAGAGAUAUGUAACUAUUGUUCAUCUUGGUUGUCGAUUACUAUUUUAGCAAAGAGAUAAUUGCACUGAAUUAAAGAAAACUACCUUCUCUGCUGUGAACUGCUGGGGGAAUAUUUGUAUUCUGA